GCCUUGGUGGCGUCGUGGUCAAGACGCUCGCCUGGUAAACAAGAGAGUGUGGGUUCGAUCCCAUCUAAGGCA
rnacentral:tRNA from 1 species